rnacentral:rRNA from 1 species
CCAGCUUGCUUGGUGGAUCAGUGGCGAACGGGUGAGUAACACGUGAGCAACCUGCCCUGGACUCUGGGAUAAGCGCUGGAAACGGCGUCUAAUACUGGAUAUGAGACGUGAUCGCAUGGUCGUGUUUGGAAAGAUUUUUCGGUCUGGGAUGGGCUCGCGGCCUAUCAGCUUGUUGGUGAGGUAAUGGCUCACCAAGGCGUCGACGGGUAGCCGGCCUGAGAGGGUGACCGGCCACACUGGGACUGAGACACGGCCCAGACUCCUACGGGAGGCAGCAGUGGGGAAUAUUGCACAAUGGGCGGAAGCCUGAUGCAGCAACGCCGCGUGAGGGAUGACGGCCUUCGGGUUGUAAACCUCUUUUAGCAGGGAAGAAGCGAAAGUGACGGUACCUGCAGAAAAAGCGCCGGCUAACUACGUGCCAGCAGCCGCGGUAAUACGUAGGGCGCAAGCGUUAUCCGGAAUUAUUGGGCGUAAAGAGCUCGUAGGCGGUUUGUCGCGUCUGCUGUGAAAUCCCGAGGCUCAACCUCGGGCCUGCAGUGGGUACGGGCAGACUAGAGUGCGGUAGGGGAGAUUGGAAUUCCUGGUGUAGCGGUGGAAUGCGCAGAUAUCAGGAGGAACACCGAUGGCGAAGGCAGAUCUCUGGGCCGUAACUGACGCUGAGGAGCGAAAGGGUGGGGAGCAAACAGGCUUAGAUACCCUGGUAGUCCACCCCGUAAACGUUGGGAACUAGUUGUGGGGACCAUUCCACGGUUUCCGUGACGCAGCUAACGCAUUAAGUUCCCCGCCUGGGGAGUACGGCCGCAAGGCUAAAACUCAAAGGAAUUGACGGGGACCCGCACAAGCGGCGGAGCAUGCGGAUUAAUUCGAUGCAACGCGAAGAACCCUUACCAAGGCUUGACAUAUACGAGAACGGGCCAGAAUGGUCAACUCUUUGGACACUCGUAAACAGGUGGUGC